rnacentral:rRNA from 1 species
CCUACGGGUGGCAGCAGUGGGGGAUAUUGGGCAAUGGAGGCAACUCUGACCCAGCAACGCCGCGUGGAUGAUGAAGGGCUUCGGAUUGUAAAGUUCUGUCGUGGGGGAUGAACACAAUGACGGUACGCCAAUAGCAAGCCGCGGCUAACUACGCGCGAGCAGCCGCGGUAAUACGUAGGUGGCAAGCGUUAUCCGGACUGACUGGGCGUAAAGGGGGCGUAGGGGGUUUAGUAAGAUGGCGGUGAAAUGCCGGGGCUAAACCCCGGCGCUACCGCCAAAACUAUUAGGCUAGUGUGCAGGAGGGGUAGGUGGAAUGCCUGGUGUAGCGGUGGAAUGCGUAGAUAUCAGGAGGAACAUCAGGGGCGAAGGCGACUUACUGGACUGCAACUGACACUGAGGCACGAAAGCGUGGGGAGCAAACAGGAUUAGAUACCCCGGUAGUC